UCUCGGAUAGUGUAGUGGUUAUCACGUAUCCUUCACAUGCUCAUGAGUAAUCGUGAGCUGAGAUCGGAUAAGGCCCCGGGUUCAAUCCCCGGUCUGAGAA